CAUUCCACGAAAUACGAAGAGUUUUUGUUUUGCACAUUGAUCAUCUGCUCGUCGACUUCUUUAGUUGACAUUUUUCCACGGAACAUAGCCGAGGCAGUGAGGUAACGGCCGUGGCGGGGGUCGGCAGCGCACAUCAUGUUCUUAGCGUCCCACAUUUGUUGAGUGAGCUCAGGGAUAGUUAGGGCACGGUACUGCUGUGAUCCUCGGGAGGUCAACGGUGCGAAUCCGACCAUGAAGAAGUGGAGGCGAGGGAAGGGGAUGAGAUUCACGGCGAGCUUGCGAAGGUCGGAGUUCAGUUGACCGGGAAACCGGAGGCAGCAGGUGACGCCGCUCAUCGUAGUUGAAAUCAAGUGGUUCAGGUCUCCAACUGUCACCGACAAUUAUACAAUAAAUAUAAUUAAUUGUCUUUUAAUAGAAACACAUGUAUUGAAAUACCAUUUAAAAAUAAUUUUCUUAAAAAACAAUUUAGUUGACUUACAGCUUGGGUUUGUGAGCUUGAGUGUUCGGAAACAUAUAUCAUACAGUGCUUCAUUAUCAAGAACCAUGCACUCAUCAGCAUUCUCGACAAGCUGGUGAACAGAAAGGGUGGCAUUGUAUGGCUCAACAACUGUAUCCGACACCUUCGGUGAAGGGAAAACCGAAAAAGUCAACAUCAUCCGAUCCGGAUACUCUUCCCGGAUCUUGGAUAUCAGUAGGGUACCCAUACCGGAUCCGGUCCCCCCUCCAAGCGAAUGGCAUACCUGAAAACCUGUAAACGAAAAUCAAUGUCUUUCUGAUCUUUUUCAAAUAUAAGAUUUUACGGUUUAAAAACAAUUUGAUAAUAAAUUAUACCUUGCAAACAAUCACAAUUCUCGGCUUCCUUACGAACAACAUCAAGAACCGAGUCAAUUAGCUCGGCACCUUCGGUGUAAUGCCCUUUAGCCCAAUUGUUUCCAGCACCAUUUUGGCCGAAGAUAAAGUUAUCAGGCCUAAAAAUAUUACCAUAUGGCCCGGUACGCAGACUGUCCAUCGUACCAGGCUCUAGGUCCACCAACACAGCUCUAGGUACAUACCUACCGCCACUAGCCUCAUUAUAGUACACAUUCACUCUUUCUAGUUGAACAUGACUGUUACCGACAUAUUUCCCGGUGGCAUCGAUGCCGUGUUCGUCACACACGACCUCCCAAAACUUCCCUCCGAUCUGGUUUCCGCAUU
rnacentral:lncRNA from 1 species